GUGCUCGCCUCGGCAGCACAUAGACUAAAAUGGAAAACAGAGAUUAGCAUGGCCCCUGAGCAAGGAUGACAGGCAAAUUCGUGAAGUGUUCCAUCCUUGG
rnacentral:snRNA from 1 species